GAUGAACGCUGGCGGCGUGCCUAAUACAUGCAAGUCGAGCGAACAGACGAGGAGCUUGCUCCUCUGACGUUAGCGGCGGACGGGUGAGUAACACGUGGAUAACCUACCUAUAAGACUGGGAUAACUUCGGGAAACCGGAGCUAAUACCGGAUAAUAUAUUGAACCGCAUGGUUCAAUAGUGAAAGACGGUUUUGCUGUCACUUAUAGAUGGAUCCGCGCCGCAUUAGCUAGUUGGUAAGGUAACGGCUUACCAAGGCAACGAUGCGUAGCCGACCUGAGAGGGUGAUCGCCCACACUGGAACUGAGACACGCUCCAGGCUCCUACGGGAGGCAGCAGUAGGGAAUCUUCCGCAAUGGGCGAAAGCCUGACGGAGCAACGCCGCGUGAGUGAUGAAGGUCUUCGGAUCGUAAAACUCUGUUAUUAGGGAAGAACAAAUGUGUAAGUAACUAUGCACGUCUUGACGGUACCUAAUCAGAAAGCCACGGCUAACUACGUG
rnacentral:rRNA from 1 species